rnacentral:rRNA from 1 species
UACGGGGGGGGCAAGCGUUGUUCGGAAUUACUGGGCGUAAAGGGCUCGUAGGCGGCCAACUAAGUCAGACGUGAAAUCCCCAGGCUCAACCUGGGAACUGCGUCUGAUACUGGUGGGCUUUAGUGCAGGAGAGGAACGCGGAAUUCCAGGUGUAGCGGUGAAAUGCGUAGAUAUCUGGAGGAACACCGGUGGCGAAGGCGGCUUCCUGGACCGACACUGACGCUGAGGCGCGAAAGCUAGGGGAGCAAACGGG